GACGAACGCUGGCGGCGUGCUUAACACAUGCAAGUCGAACGGAAAGGCCCUGCUUUUGUGGGGUGCUCGAGUGGCGAAAGGGUGAGUAACCCGUGAGUAAACUGCCCUUGCAUUUGGGAUAACCUCAGGAAAAUGGGGCUAAUACCGGAUAGGAGCUCCUGCUGCAUGGUGGGGGUCGGAAAGAUACGGCGGUUGGGGAUGGACUCGUGGCUUAUCAGCUUGUUGGUGGGGUAGUGGCUGACGAAGGCUUUGACGGGUAGCCGGCCUGAGAGGGUGAGCGGCCACAUUGGGACUGCGAUACGGCGCAGACGCCGACGGUAGUCAGCAGUGGGGAAAAGUGUACAGCGGGCGGAAGGCGUGUGCAGCAGCGCCGCGUGGGGGAUGACCGUCUUCGGGUUGUGAACCGCUUUCGGCUGUGAGGGGGCGUGAGUGACGGUAAUGGGUUAAGAAGCGCCGGCUAACUACGUG
rnacentral:rRNA from 1 species